rnacentral:rRNA from 1 species
GAUUAAGUUAUUAAGGGCGCACGGUGGAUGCCUUGGCACUAGAAGCCGAUGAAGGACGUUACUAACGACGAUAUGCUUUGGGGAGCUGUAAGUAAGCUUUGAUCCAGAGAUUUCCGAAUGGGGAAACCCAGCAUGAGUUAUGUCAUGUUAUCGAUAUGUGAAUACAUAGCAUAUCAGAAGGCACACCCGGAGAACUGAAACAUCUUAGUACCCGGAGGAAGAGAAAGAAAAUUCGAUUCCCUUAGUAGCGGCGAGCGAAACAGGAAGAGCCCAAACCAACAAGCUUGCUUGUUGGGGUUGUAGGACACUCUAUACGGAGUUACAAAGGACGACAUUAGACGAAUCAUCUGGAAAGAUGAAUCAAAGAAGGUAAUAAUCCUGUAGUCGAAAAUGUUGUCUCUCUUGAGUGGAUCCUGAGUACGACGGAGCACGUGAAAUUC